GCGCCAUUAGCUCAACUGGAUGGAGCAGCGGUCUCCAAAGCCGUAAGAUGCACGUUCGAAUCGUGCAUGGUGCG
rnacentral:tRNA from 1 species